rnacentral:rRNA from 1 species
AGUGAACGCUGGCGGUAGGCCUAACACAUGCAAAUCGAACGGCAGCACAGUAAGAGCUUGCUCUUACGGGUGGCGAGUGGCGGACGGGUGAGGAAUACAUCGGAAUCUACUUUUUCGUGGGGGAUAACGUAGGGAAACUUACGCUAAUACCGCAUACGACCUACGGGUGAAAGCAGGGGAUCUUCGGACCUUGCGCGAUUGAAUGAGCCGAUGUCGGAUUAGCUAGUUGGCGGGGUAAAGGCCCACCAAGGCGACGAUCCGUAGCUGGUCUGAGAGGAUGAUCACCCACCCUGGAACUGGGACACGGUCCAGACUCCUACGGGAGGCAGCAGUGGGGAAUAUUGGACAAUGGGCGCAAGCCUGAUCCAGCCAUACCGCGUGGGUGAAGAAGGCCUUCGGGUUGUAAAGCCCUUUUGUUGGGAAAGAAAAGCAGCAGGUUAAUACCCCGCUGUUCUGACGGUACCCAAAGAAUAAGCACCGGCUAACUUCGUG